CCUACGGGAGGCAGCAGUGGGGAAUAUUGGACAAUGGGCGAAAGCCUGAUCCAGCAAUGCCGCGUGAGUGAUGAAGGCCUUAGGGUUGUAAAGCUCUUUUACCCGGGAUGAUAAUGACAGUACCGGGAGAAUAAGCUCCGGCUAACUCCGUGCCAGCAGCCGCGGUAAUACGGAGGGAGCUAGCGUUGUUCGGAAUUACUGGGCGUAAAGCGUACGUAGGCGGUUAUUCAAGUCAGAGGUGAAAGCCUGGAGCUCAACUCCAGAACUGCCUUUGAAACUAGGUAGCUAGAAUCUUGGAGAGGUUAGUGGAAUUCCGAGUGUAGAGGUGAAAUUCGUAGAUAUUCGGAAGAACACCAGUGGCGAAGGCGACUAACUGGACAAGUAUUGACGCUGAGGUACGAAAGCGCGGGGAGCAAACAGGAUUAGAUACCCUGGUAGUCCACGCCGUAAACGAUGAUAACUAGCUGUUCGGGCUCUACGAGCUUGAGUGGCGCAGCUACGACAUAAGUUAUCCGUCCGUCGGGUAGGUACGGUCGCGAGAAGUUAAACGUAACGAAAGGAAGUUAGUAACGGUCGUGUUAGACGUGCCGAACGGACGACGACGAGGGAGGAGG
rnacentral:rRNA from 1 species